ACAUAUGUUUGGCAAAUCCGUCGAAAGACGGAGACGCAAAGCUCGGAGCCUGAAUUAAGUAUGGCAGUCCGGCCGCAUCG
rnacentral:ncRNA from 2 species